rnacentral:rRNA from 1 species
UAGGGAAUCUUCCGCAAUGGACGAAAGUCUGACGGAGCAACGCCGCGUGAGUGAAGAAGGAUUUCGGUUCGUAAAACUCUGUUGUUAGGGAAGAAAAAAUGUAUAGUAACUAUAUACAAAAGAGACGGUACCUAACCAGAAAGCCACGGCUAACUACGUGCCAGCAGCCGCGGUAAUACGUAGGUGGCAAGCGUUGUCCGGAAUUAUUGGGCGUAAAGCGCGCGCAGGUGGUUUAGAAAGUCUGAUGUGAAAGCCCACGGCUCAACCGUGGGGGGUCAUUGGAAACUAAUAAACUUGAGUGCAGGAGAGAAAAGUGGAAUUCCUAGUGUAGCGGUGAAAUGCGUAGAGAUUAGGAGGAACACCGGUGGCGAAAGCGGCUUUUUGGCCUGCAACUGACACUGAGGCGCGAAAGCGUGGGGAGCAAACAGG